rnacentral:rRNA from 1 species
GGAGAGAGAGCCUGAGAAACGGSUCCACAUUCMAGGGAGACCGCAGGCGCCUWAAUUACCCMAUCCUGAUACMGGGAGGUAGUGACAAUAAAUAACAAUGCCGGGCCAUCAUUGGUCUKGCCAUUGGAAUGAAAACAAUUUAAAUCCCUUAUCGAGGAUCAAUUGGAGGGCAAGUCUUGUGCC